CUCUCUCUCUCUCUCUCUGUGACUAAGUCUUCAAUCACCACCAUGGUUUCUUGCAAUGACCAGAACUUGGUGUAUAACAUCAAGAUUUCAUCGGUCGGGCCGGGACGAGUUACGGGUUCGGACGUGAUGUACGAGCCCAGUGGGAUGGACUUGGCCAUGAAGCUUCACUAUCUGAAAGGUGUCUACUUCUUCAGUAGUGAAGCAACACAAGGGAUGAACAUUAUGCGCAUCAAGGAAAGUACGUUCUACUGGUUUAAUGAGUUCUACAUGACCUGUGGACGGUUCCGGCGAUCGGACAUCACCGGCAGGCCAUACAUGAAGUGUAAUGACUGUGGUGUAAGGGUGAUCGAGGCACAGUGUGACAUGACGGUGGAUGCAUGGCUUGAAACGAAGGAUUCUUCCCUCAAUAACCUGCUUGUUUACCAUCAGCCAAUUGGUCCUGAAUUAUCCUUUUCUCCAUCUAUUUACUUACAGGUACUGAGUGGGCUCAUAGUUAUAUAUUUGAUUUAGUUUGACUUUCACAAGUUAAGCCAAACAAGUUCGAUUUAUAUAAUAUGAACAUCGCUCUUCUAAACCUUUUUUUUACAGGUAACUAAGUUCAAAUGUGGAGGAAUGUCACUGGGCUUGAGUUGGGCCCAUGUACUUGGAGACCCAUUUUCUGCUUCUGAAUGCCUUAACAAAUGGAGCCCAUUUCUUGCUGGUCUCAAGUCCAAUGGGCCUUUGCAAAUCAGAAGAUCACCCAAAAGGCUUGAAAACUCAGAACAUGCAAAACAACCACUUUCACUGAAGCGGGUCGACCCGGUUGGUGAUCAUUGGGUAACUGCCAAUAACUGUAAAAUGGAAACAUUUUCAAUCUAUUUAACUGCCUUGCAGGUAUCUCACUUUCUCUCAAAAAUUUGGGGUCAGAAUCCUAUUGAAGAAGCUCCAUUGUUUGAGUCUCUCUGUGCCAUAAUGUGGCAAUGCAUAGCCAAAGUUAGAGAAGAGCAUGAGCCCAAAUUAGUGACAAUUUGCAAAAAGGAUCCUAAUUAUCCGAAAAGUGGGAUUUUAAGCAACACUCAGAUUAUAAGUUCUGUUGAGGCAGAUUUUUCCAUCAAAGACUCAGAUUUGAAGAAAUUGGCAAAUUUGCUAGUUGAUCGAGCAUCAGACGAGAAAAAUCAAAUCGAAAAGAUGGUAGAGAAAGAUAAUGGAUUGAUCGAUUAUAUAAUAUAUGGAGCAAAUUUGACAUUUGUUGAUUUUGAAAAGGCUAAUUUAUAUGGACUCGAAUGGAAUAAAUAUAAACCGAAAUUCGUACACUAUACUAUUCAAGGAGUCGGAGAUGAAGGUGCCGUUUUUGUGCUUCCAUGGCCGGAAGACAGUGAAAAACACAACGGGGAAGGAAGAGUUGUGACGGUGAUUUUGCCGGAAAAAGAUGUGACAAAGCUUAAAUGUGAGCUGAAAGAGAAUGGUAUAUUGCUCCAAGGUGAUCUUGAAUGAGCACGGGGUUGAUAAUGCUGAUUAAUUAAAUGAGUACGUUGUUAAUUAUUUUAAUCAAGUGGUGUGGAGUAAGGCUUGACUGCAGAUUUUGGAAUAAUUUUUAGCACUCUUCUAUUGUACUUGAAGAUCAUGUAAUAAUAAUAAUAAUAAUAAU
rnacentral:misc_RNA from 1 species